rnacentral:tRNA from 1 species
GUAAGAAAAGCUGUUUUAGCAAUAGAUUUUUGAUCUAUUAUUUGAUAAGUUUAUCUUCUUAUU